rnacentral:tRNA from 1 species
GCCUGGGUGGCUCAGUCGGUUAAGCGUCCGACUUCGACUCAGGUCAUGAUCUCGCGGUCUGUGGGUUCAAGCCCCGCGUCAGGCU